GGUGGGAUGGCCGAGUUGGUUAUGGCGCCAGGUUAAGGUCACCUUAACAGAGUUGCUUUCUUAGUAAUUUCCUGGUUCGGGAAACUGAGCGUGGGUUCGAGUCCCACUCCCAUCA
rfam:Xylona heveae TC161 unplaced genomic scaffold L228scaffold_13, whole genome shotgun sequence.